rnacentral:rRNA from 1 species
AACGAACGCUGGCGGCAGGCUUAACACAUGCAAGUCGAGCGCCCCGCAAGGGGAGCGGCAGACGGGUGAGUAACGCGUGGGAAUCUACCCAUCUCUACGGAAUAACGCAUGGAAACGUGUGCUAAUACCGUAUACGUACUUCGGGAGAAAGAUUUAUCGGAGGUGGAUGAGCCCGCGUUGGAUUAGCUAGUUGGUGGGGUAAAGGCCUACCAAGGCGACGAUCCAUAGCUGGUCUGAGAGGAUGAUCAGCCACACUGGGGCUGAGACACGGCCCAGACUCCUACGGGAGGCAGCAGUGGGGAAUAUUGGACAAUGGGCGCAAGCCUGAUCCAGCCAUGCCGCGUGAGUGAUGAAGGCCCUAGGGUUGUAAAGCUCUUUCACCGGUGAAGAUAAUGACGGUAACCGGAGAAGAAGCCCCGGCUAACUUCGUGCCAGCAGCCGCAGUAACAC